UUGCGCACCUGUCAAGAAAAUGACCCUUAUUAGCACGCCUCAUUAAAUAAAAUGAGACUUCUUGAGUUGUUAGUCACAAACAUAUUACCAUCAUCCGCCCCUCUCGUCAGUACACCAGCCCUGAUCUGUGCUUUGGGAAAGACUUUCUUCCAGUUAAGUUUGAGAAGAAGGGCAAUGAGGAACACUGACUGAAGGAAGACUGAAAUUAACAGACCAGUCCACAGACC